rnacentral:tRNA from 4 species
GCAACAUUAAUUCAGUGGUAGAGCUGGAGGUUUCCAACCUUUAUGUCGUCGGUUCGAUUCCGACAUGUUGCUCCA